rnacentral:rRNA from 1 species
GAACGCUGGCGGCGUGCUUAACACAUGCAAGUCGAACGGUGAAGCCCUUCGGGGUGGAUCAGUGGCGAACGGGUGAGUAACACGUGGGCAAUCUGCCCUGCACUCUGGGACAAGCCUUGGAAACGAGGUCUAAUACCGGAUAUGACUCCUGGGGGCAUCCCUGGGAGUGGAAAGCUCCGGCGGUGCAGGAUGAGCCCGCGGCCUAUCAGCUUGUUGGUGGGGUGAUGGCCUACCAAGGCGACGACGGGUAGCCGGCCUGAGAGGGCGACCGGCCACACUGGGACUGAGACACGGCCCAGACUCCUACGGGAGGCAGCAGUGGGGAAUAUUGCACAAUGGGCGAAAGCCUGAUGCAGCGACGCCGCGUGAGGGAUGAAGGCCUUCGGGUUGUAAACCUCUUUCAGCAGGGAAGAAGCGCAAGUGACGGUACCUGCAGAAGAAGCACCGGCUAACUACGUGCCAGCAGCCGCGGUAAUACGUAGGGUGCGAGCGUUGUCCGGAAUUAUUGGGCGUAAAGAGCUCGUAGGCGG